UAUUACUUAUUAUUUUUUUUAUACAUGAUUAGGUUCAUGUAUGCCUGUUAUAUCUUAUCUUUUAUGGAUUUGUUUUAUCUUAGCAUCUUUUGUUUUAGUAUGGCUAAAAAAAUAUGAUAUAUAUAUAUUGUACCUGUAUCUGCGCCUGCGUUUGCACCUGCACCUGCUGCUGCUCCUACCUCUACAGUUACUGCCAUACCAGAGUCUAAUGUCUAUGGUCAAGCGGCAUCGAAUUUGGUUGCUGGAAGUAACCUUGAUGGAGCGGUCCGGCAAAUUCUUGAUAUGGGUGGAGGGACUUGGGAUAGGGAUACUGUUGUUCGAGCUCUUCGUGCUGCUUACAACCCAGAGAGAGCUGUUGAAUAUUACUUGUAUUUGAUCUCUUUUGUGAAUUUAUUUUUCAAAUGGGAAGUGCAGAAGCAUGACGAAAAUUUUUGUUUUUGAUUUACGUUAUUUAGAUUUGUGAACAACAUUAUGUAUUGGAUAAUUUUGUUGAUGUAUUGUUAUGAAUGGAAGAAUAUUUUAAUUA